UGAAGCAAGCCCAUUACAGCGUGGCCCUAAAGGGUCAUUUAGAGGGGGCAAUCAAUCUCAAGAUGAAUAUGUCUGCUACCUUUCAAGAAGAGAAGCAAAGCAUCAAUGGUGGGCCGAUCCAUCAAUCAGGAGAGAAGGGGAGGUCAGCUUUGAAGAUCAAAGUCAAGCACCCAACUAGACCAUGCGGGAGAUCUACAGAGACCCCAGCCAGAAGUUGCGGAUGGUGAUGACAAUAUUUCUGCAGGCAAUAAGGUGUGGAGAUUAAAAAUGGAUCCCAGAGAGUAUGG